rnacentral:lncRNA from 12 species
CAAAAGGGUAACAAAGCUCCUCCAGCACAACUCUGGGACUCCCUCAUGUGCUAACAAGAACUGCAGUCGUGCAGGUGGGACAGAUCACCCCCAGCCAAGACACCUCAAUGUCUCAGGCCCCUCUUUAGUCUCCCUGGGAGCCCAGCACAGCCCUGGGAUGAGGGUGAUGCUGCCAUGAGACUUUUGUGUCUGUGCAGUGGGAGGUGAAAAGACAGAGAUGGUGCUGAAAGGAAAAACAAGUGACAGCACAAGCUCAUCCGGAUGACUGUGACUUCCAGGCAAGGUAGAACCCACAGUGUUUUAUGCAAAAGUAAAAUUAUGUUCU